CAGCAGCCACGGGAAUACGUAGGGUGUGAGCGUUAAUCGGAAUUACUGGGCGUAAAGCGUGCGCAGGCGGUUUUGUAAGACAGGCGUGAAAUCCCCGGGCUCAACCUGGGAAUGGCGCUUGUGACUGCAAAGCUAGAGUGCGGCAGAGGGGGAUGGAAUUCCGCGUGUAGCAGUGAAAUGCGUAGAUAUGCGGAGGAACACCGAUGGCGAAGGCAAUCCCCUGGGCCUGCACUGACGCUCAUGCACGAAAGCGUGGGGAGCAAACAGGAUUAGAUACCCGCGUAGUCCCUGUCUCUUAUAC
rnacentral:rRNA from 1 species